rnacentral:rRNA from 1 species
UACGGGGGGGGCAAGCGUUGUUCGGAAUUACUGGGCGUAAAGGGCCAGUAGGCGGCCAACUAAGUCGGAUGUGAAAUCCCCAGGCUUAACCUGGGAACUGCAUCCGAUACUGGAUGGCUUGAAUUCGGGAGAGGGAUGCAGAAUUCCAGGUGUAGCGGUGAAAUGCGUGGAUAUCUGGAGGAAUACCGGUGGCGAAGGCGGCAUCCUGGACCGACAUUGACGCUGAACGGCGAAAGCUAGGGGAGCAAACGGG